GCGUGGGUGUCUACCUGAUUUGAGGUCAGAAGUCAAUGAAAUGUCUUGCGACAGUUUGAAGCAUGAAGCUGUAUCACCCAAGCACGAUGCAGAUAAUUAUCACACCGAGCAUGAAGUGGACAUUCACACUAAUGCAAUUGAGAGGAGCCGGCAUCCAGAAGGAUCCCUGCAACAGCCUCCAAGUCCAAUGUCACUUCAGCAAGAGCUGAAGGAAUUGAGAAUAUCAUGACACUCAAACAGGCAUGCUCCUCGGAAUACCAAGGAGCGCAAGAUGCGUUCAAAGAUUCGAUGAUUCACUGAAUUCUGCAAUUCACAUUACUUAUCGCAUUUCGCUGCGUUCUUCAUCGAUGCGAGAGCCAAGAGAUCCGUUGCUGAAAGUUGUAUUUCAUUGUGUGGAUACACAGAAACAUUCUCAACCAUUGUAAAAGUUUAUAAAGUACACAGAGGCAGCCUGCAGCCAGAGGCCGCGAGUUGUCCUGUGAAAAGUGCACAGAGGUGAGAGGUAAAUGAGAGAGAUGCGCACAUGCCCAAGGGCCAGCAGCAAUCUCACCCAAGUGGAAUUCAAUAAUGAUCCUUCCGCAGGUUCACCUUACGGAAG
rnacentral:misc_RNA from 1 species